rnacentral:rRNA from 1 species
UACGUAGGGUGCAAGCGUUGUCCGGAAUUAUUGGGCGUAAAGAGCUCGUAGGCGGUUUGUCGCGUCUGCUGUGAAAACUCGGGGCUUAACCCCGGGCCUGCAGUGGAUACGGGCAGGCUGGAGGCAGGCAGGGGAGAACGGAAUUACCGGUGUAGCGGUGAAAUGCGCAGAUAUCGGGAGGAACACCGGUGGCGAAGGCGGUUCUCUGGGCCUGUACUGACGCUGAGGAGCGAAAAGCGUGGGGAGCAAACAGG